UAGCGGCGGCGGCGGCGGCGGCGGCGCGCUAGGGCGCGGGCCGCCAGGCGAGGCGAGGCGGGGUCCACUUAGGUCAACGACGAAUUCACCCAAAGGAAACAUGGUUUGGACUUCCACUUAGGUCAACGACGAAUUCACCCAAAGGAAACAUGCUUUGGAUUUCCACUUGGGUCAACGACAAAUUCACCCGAGGGAAACUUGGUAUGAACUUCAAUUUGCGUUCCGAAGUGUCAAGGACCCUUAGACGGACAUAUCGAAGGAAGUUCGUACCUCUUGGAUGAUUUACAGGGACUUACAUAACGACUCUUCUUGGUCCUUUUACUCUGUAGACUACUACGACCGCUCGGACUUCUUCAUCGUCUGCAUAAACAAAUGUCUCUUCUACAGCAGUCGAACUUUAGUUUGUUUCUACGGGCACCAAACCACUACCUUCAUCGACCGCUUAUACUAAGACUUCCAUCGUAGUGACUGCUACUUAGACUACGACUCCUCUUACUCGCAUUUUCGCGAGUAUUUUGACUUUUACAACCAGGACUGCCACUAUUACGGUUAUUACGUUCAGUACCUCUACUACAACUGUCAGUCUCGAGAGACGGACUAUUGUUCCAAUCCCACAAUACCUAGCUACCUUGUCUCUACUGCCUUCUAUAACUGUCACACCACCAACAACUGUCUUGAAAGGAGGUACCCCUAUACCAACGAAGAAGGAGUCUAGGUUGACCAGUCUACCCCGAACAACGCCUACAGUCAGAACACCAACUAAACGUUCCACGAGUACCUCUCUACUAAUUCCCACAUAGACGUUUCCUAAACUCUGCGUAGUCCCUUAAAUUACACCCACUAAUACAACAGAGGCCCGAUACCGAACCAGCCCAACUACUUCACAAACUAUUACAAUCACACAACAAACUACUACCAAGACAGACGUUCCAAAGUUCCCGUCUAGGAUACGCGGAUUCCGAACGGAGUCCCGGUUACGUGGGUCUAUGUCGGACGGGGAAAAUAGGUCCUGUCGCACACUUCCGUCACAGAAGUAGACACAUGUUUUGUAGGUCUACCGAAGUACCCUACACCUUUCGUUCAGCAGAACUUCGAUGACAGUGUUUCCACCUUUGACGACGACAGUAUCAGAUAACCUAACGCAGACGUGUGACACCAUGUUUAGUUCUAAGACAGGGGGGACUCCUCGUCUUGGGUUUCCUAGACUGAGAAGACAGAACGAAAAGUAUACGUUCGACCGUUAACCGACUUACCACAGUAGGAGUUGGUGUGUGUAGUAGUACACGGUUACUGUGAAAUUACCUCACAAGUUUUUACUUUCUCGAGUUAAGACUCGUCCGACUACAAGGACUUAGACGGCAACUACAAGUCCGACUUGUCCGAGUUUUAUGAUUUUGUCUACAUUUAGGGGACCUUUUUGUACCACUAAGAGAACGUCUAGCUAGUUUAUACAGUCUACCUCUAUUAUGUACGCAUCGGUUUCUAAGUCUUAGACCGUGAUCACAUAGUUGGGAAGGUUUCCUCCCUCACGUACUGGUACGAUGAAUGUCUUUCUUCUAGUCUUUUCAAAAACAGUCUUUCCUAUUUUCUCGUUUUUCUUCUCUACUCUCGAAACUUUCACGGGACGAAUAACGUCUAUGUAUAUGUUUCCAACUACAUGACACCGUUCUACCCUCUUUUCUUACACCUCAUUCAAGGUGCAGAGACUAGGGCUAGGUCUGAGGUUUACUAGUACUUAAGAAGGGUCUCGUCAUACGACACCUUUUCCAGAGACUACUACAACUGGUCGGAAGACUUUGUUCCGCACACCCAGAACAAUCUUCACAAUUACGUUUCCUGGCCUGGCACAGACAUAGUACCAAAUUCAGAAGCAACGUGAGUCUCCUCGGAUCCCUUUAACUCACGUGACUUCAACAAUCACGUAUACUUGAACUGCCGGUGGGCCUAAUACUAAUAACGAUACCUCUACAACAACAAGCGAACGGUAGACAAAGUGUAGGAUACCUUAGUAGGUUACCACCUUUGUGCUACCUCGACCUGUUCUUACAUCUAAGACUUCUUCGUAGCCGACGAAGUUUACGUCACGGGGGACUACAACGACGUCUCCUUGUUGAAAGUGUCUUCCUCAGAUCAAGUCUUCAAUGGGUGGAGAGUACCCAACCUUUAUAUCACCCGAAGGUUCUACCACUCUAACUUCAGUGAACCCCACUACCCAGCCACAGUUUCCAACCCGGAGUACUCUAUAUACAACAACCGGCUCUUCUACUGCCACCGAGUUAUCUACUACCUCGAGGAAGGCUACGACCAUCGACCCUCUGUCAACUACUGUUACUUUACCUGAACGGACUACUAGGACGUUUACUACUAGACGUUUUACGUCAGGUCUUAUCGUAACUUUACCUUUUACCCAGUAAGUUAAGGGUUCUACUUUGAAGACAACCUUCACCAGGUGAGAGACAACGAAAACCGAAACAAUGCGCUGACCGCUCACUCUAGAAGCGGGCUCCAUUUUUCGUAAAUCUACCCAGUUUGAGUCUACGAUACCUACUUCAACUUAGAGUCGUCAGAUUGCUCCAAAGUCUUAGACCACUACUGUAACUAUUUUUGCUCCUACUCUUGGCGUACCGUCGUAGCCUCUCGUGGUGACACUGUUGUUUACUGAGAUUACGACUCUUCAGGCAUCUACAUCAAUACCGACUGCUCGGACGUCUAAGACUAACGAACUUUGUGAAACUACAAGACGUCACGGGAGGCCUGGUAGUGAUGGAACUUUUGUAUCGUGUACCAUGGCCACCUUCUUUCACCCAGUUUUUUCAAGUCGUUCUUACCCCGUAUGAACUCUUCUUAGAUGGUCUAAUAUAAAUACAGUCCCAUAAACUCCUAGCAUACCUAGAGUACUCUCGACACUAAUAACCUCGUUCACCGUGUGGUAUGGUUCUACCAGACAAGAAGAAACUGAAGAUGGAAGGUGGACUCAAAGGUGUUCGAGGAGGCAGCCGUAUGAUAGUAAGACCGCCGAACGCACAUUUAGGUUUGGAAAUACACCUACCCUUCCAAACAAAUUCGGAGAAUUUAUGAACCUGACCGUCUCCCUUACUUCAUACCCUAGGUAGGAGUAGAUCAUAAGAGGUUCAUGAUCAGAGUGAAGUCCCUGAUCAAGAGUUACUUUUCGGGAUAAAGUUACUUCGACCUAUACUCUUCGUUCAGCCAUGACAACUUCCCCUCUUCUUACGUGACGGUAUGUUGCUUUUGUGUAUAGACGAUUCGCACUUUAGGUACAACAUAUAGAACUCCGCCGGAGGAUACUUAAAGCUCCUAAAACACUUUUCAGUGAAGACGUUCGCGCCGCUGAUGUAAGAGUUUCGAACACUCCGGAUGAACGUUCCUCGACACCAGCCGUGCGACUUACUGCUACGGACGGGGUGACUAUGAUUGUUCCUCAUGAGAACGAGGUACCCGAAGUUUGAACGUAACCCGUUUUAGAACGGUUCCAACUAGUGUCGGAACUUCCUGUAUCCUCGUCUGACGUCGGUCAUACUCGUGGAGCCCUUCUGGCUCUGGCGAGUUCUUUCGACUUGUGGCUCGACUCCUAACAUAAGUUUAGAAAAGAACCGAACUCUUUUGUACUAUUUUGAAGUGGAGGGCGACAAAGGCAUAUUUACAUGUAGGUUGUAAACAACAAAAUAAUAGAGUUGUACUUGUAAACCCUUUGCACCCAGGUUUACUUUGGUAGAGAAGGUUUGACCCUUAACUCCACACAGGACGUGUCAAAUACAAAAACAAUUCGAGACACCCAAACAACAAUUCCAUGGGAAUAAAAUUUCCGGUCCGCUGGUAACGUUCUAAUCCGGAUCUUUAAGGUUCACAUUACUACGUCGACCGAUUUAC
rnacentral:rRNA from 1 species